UGGAGCUUGCUCCACGGAUUAGUGGCGAACGGGUGAGUAACACGUGAAUAACCUGCCCUCAAUUUCGGAAUAACCCAGGGAAACCUGGGCUAAUACCGGAUACGUAAACCUGUGGCAUCACAUGGUUUUGGAAAGUUUUUCGAUUGAGGAUGGAUUCGCGGCCUAUCAGCUUGUUGGUGAGGUAAUGGCUCACCAAGGCGACGACGGGUAGCCGGCCUGAGAGGGUGGACGGCCACACUGGGACUGAGACACGGCCCAGACUCCUACGGGAGGCAGCAGUGGGGAAUAUUGCGCAAUGGACGAAAGUCUGACGCAGCGACGCCUCGUGAGGGACGAAGGUCUUCGGAUUGUAAACCUCUUUCAGCAGGGACGAAGCGAAAGUGACGGUACCUGCAGAAGAAGCACCGGCUAACUAUGUGCCAGCAGCCGCGGUAAUACAUAGGGUGCAAGCGUUGUCCGGAUUUAUUGGGCGUAAAGAGUUCGUAGGCGGUUUUUCGCGUCGGAUGUGAAAACUCAGGGCUCAACCCUGAGCCUGCAUUCGAUACGGGAAGACUCGAGGACGGCAGGGGAGACUGGAACUUCUGGUGUAGCGGUGGAAUGCGCAGAUAUCA
rnacentral:rRNA from 1 species